CCUACGGGUGGCAGCAGUGGGGGAUAUUGCACAAUGGGGGAAACCCUGAUGCAGCGACGCCGCGUGGGUGAAGAAGCUCCUCGGCGCGUAAAGCCCUGUCAGCAGGGAAGAAAAUGACGGUACCUGCAGAAGAAGCCCCGGCUAACUCCGUGCCAGCUGCCGCGGUAAUACGUAGGGGGCAAGCGUUAUCCGGAUUUACUGGGUGUAAAGGGGGCGCAGACGGCGAUGAAAGCCAGCGGUAAAAUGUCGGGGCUCAACCCCGGCCGGCCGUUGAAACUGGCGUGCUCGAGUUGGGGAGAAGUAUGCGGAAUUCGUGGUGUAGAGGUGAAAUGCGUAGAUAUCACGAAGAACCCCGAUUGCGAAGGCAGCAAACCGGCUCGACACUGACGCUGAGGCACGAAAGCGUGGGUAUCGAACAGGAUUAGAUACCCCGGUAGUC
rnacentral:rRNA from 1 species